rnacentral:rRNA from 1 species
GGGCGGGCUUGAGUGCGGUAGGGGCGACUGGAAUUCCCGGUGUAACGGUGGAAUGUGUAGAUAUCGGGAAGAACACCAAUGGCGAAGGCAGGUCUCUGGGCCGUUACUGACGCUGAGGAGCGAAAGCGUGGGGAGCGAACAGGAUUAGAUACCCUGGUAGUCCACGCCGUAAACGGUGGAUGCUGGAUGUGGGGCCCGUUCCACGGGUUCCGUGUCGGAGCUAACGCGUUAAGCAUCCCGCCUGGGGAGUACGGCCGCAAGGCUAAAACUCAAAGAAAUUGACGGGGGCCCGCACAAGCGGCGGAGCAUGCGGAUUAAUUCGAUGCAACGCGAAGAACCUUACCUGGGCUUGACAUGUUCCCGACGGUCGUAGAGAUACGGCUUCCCUUCGGGGCGGGUUCACAGGUGGUGCAUGGUCGUCGUCAGCUCGUGUCGUGAGAUGUUGGGUUAAGUCCCGCAACGAGCGCAACCCUCGCCCCGUGUUGCCAGCGGAUUAUGCCGGGAACUCACGGGGGACCGCCGGGGUUAACUCGGAGGAAGGUGGGGAUGACGUCAGAUCAUCAUGCCCCUUACGUCCAGGGCUUCACGCAUGCUACAAUGGCCGGUACAACGGGAUGCGACGCGGCGACGCGGAGCGGAUCCCUGAAAACCGGUCUCAGUUCGGAUCGCAGUCUGCAACUCGACUGCGUGAAGGCGGAGUCGCUAGUAAUCGCGAAUCAGCAACGUCGCGGUGAAUGCGUUCCCGGGCCUUGUACACACCGCCCGUCAAGUCAUGAAAGUGGGCAGCACCCGAAGCCGGUGGCCUAACCCCUUGUGGGGAUGGAGCCCGUCUAGGUGAGGCUCGUGAUUGGGGACUAGUCGUAACAAGGUAGCCGUACCGGAAGGUGCGGCUG